rnacentral:snRNA from 1 species
GUGCUCCUUCGACAGCACAUAUUCUAGAAUGGGAAUAACACAGAGAAGAUUAAAUAGCUGAAGUGGAAAAAUGACAUGCAAAUUUGUAAAGUGUUCCAUACUUUA